rnacentral:misc_RNA from 1 species
AAGUCGUAACAAGGUUUCCGUAGGUGAACCUGCGGAAGGAUCAUUGCAAAUCAGAAGAGAGAGUAAGGAUCAUCAUGGACAUUGUCCUAUGCUUUUAUUACUCGUCUCACAUACGCACAGCGUACUAGUCAUUUUUGAUCAGUCGCUGAUGUUUACGCUUGUUUGUUUGACAAAUCCAUGUAUUACAAUAUUUAAAACUUUUAACAACGGAUCUCUUGGCUCUU